rnacentral:rRNA from 1 species
AGCCCUAAGUGGGUGGUAAACUCCAUCUAAGGCUAAAUAUGACCACGAGACCGAUAGCGAACAAGUACCGUGAGGGAAAGUUGAAAAGCACUUUGAAGAGAGAGUUCAAGAGUACGUGAAACCGUUUAGGGGUAAACCUGAGAAACCCGAAAGGUCGAAGGAGGAAAUUCAUUCGCGUUUCGACGCAGGCGUUGGGCGGUCGAGUGACGGAAAGCGUUCGCGUUUUCCGCGCCUUCCGUUUUUCGAACCGGUGGCGAACGCGUGCACUUUUCCUCUGGUAGGACGUCGCGAUCCGUUGGGUGUCGGUCUACGGCUCGCGGUGGAGCCCGUCUGACGUUCGUUCGGACGGACCCGCGUGUCCUGGCUGACUCGCUCGACGGUAUACGAAAGGUUUAAGGCCGCUCUUGGAGCGUUCGGCUCGUGGCAAGCGCGCCAGAUGCGUCGGCGAUCGGACCUGGUGCCGAUUCUGACCUCUGGUGACUGUUGGCCGCGAAGAUCUCGAACAGUGCUUUUAAAUCGAUCUGCGACGCUAUAGCUUUGGGUACUUUCAG